UGGGGUUUAGCUGAGUGGUGUAAAGUGCCUGCUUGGUAAGCAUGAGGUUGUGAGUUCAAUCCCCAGUACCAA
rnacentral:tRNA from 1 species